rnacentral:rRNA from 1 species
AGAAUCAACGCUGGCGGCGUGCCUCAGACAUGCAAGUCGAACGCGAAAGUCCCCCUUCGGGGGGGCAAGUAGAGUGGCGCACGGGUGAGUAACACGUAGGUAAUCUACCUUCGGGUGGGGAAUAACAACCGGAAACGGUUGCUAAUACCGCAUAAUGCAGCGGCACCUAAUGGUGACAGUUGUUAAAGCGGGGGAUCGAAAGAUCUCGCGCCUGAAGAGGAGCCUGCGGCGGAUUAGCUAGUUGGUAGGGUAACGGCCUACCGAAGGCGACGAUCCGUA